CGAAAAUUUGCCGGAGGUGGUCGCAAAAGACGAUUAAAUCUGCUAUUUUUGCAUCUGGCAGGCCAACUUUGGAGAUGAGUCUGUUGCUUGGCGGCCGAAAAAUUUAGAUUUGGAUGAAAACGCUAAGGUGCUCCAGGAGGAUUCUUCAGGAAAUUUGCUGGACAUGUUGAGCAGUGUUGGGCGCAGUUGGAAGAGGUUGAUCUGGCCAAAUACACAAGAAAAUCCCUAGGAAGAGAAAUGACUUCAGUGGAGGGCGUUUUACUGCUGGAUCACGUCAAAGUGAUGCACAAAGAAGCCAUCAAACGCGGAAUUUACGGCUGCACGAC